rnacentral:rRNA from 1 species
AGUCGAGCGGACAGAAGGGAGCUUGCUCCCGGAUGUUAGCGGCGGACGGGUGAGUAACACGUGGGUAACCUGCCUGUAAGACUGGGAUAACUCCGGGAAACCGGAGCUAAUACCGGAUAGUUCCUUGAACCGCAUGGUUCAAGGAUGAAAGACGGUUUCGGCUGUCACUUACAGAUGGACCCGCGGCGCAUUAGCUAGUUGGUGGGGUAAUGGCUCACCAAGGCGACGAUGCGUAGCCGACCUGAGAGGGUGAUCGGCCACACUGGGACUGAGACACGGCCCAGACUCCUACGGGAGGCAGCAGUAGGGAAUCUUCCGCAAUGGACGAAAGUCUGACGGAGCAACGCCGCGUGAGUGAUGAAGGUUUUCGGAUCGUAAAGCUCUGUUGUUAGGGAAGAACAAGUACGAGAGUAACUGCUCGCACCUUGACGGUACCUAACCAGAAAGCCACGGCUAACUACGUGCAGCCA